AUUGAACGCUGGCGGCAGGCUUAACACAUGCAAGUCGAGCGAGCGGCGGAGGGGUGAGAAAUGCUUGGGAAAUGGCCUGAUGGAGGGGGAUAACUACGGGAACCGGUAGCUAAUCCCCCAUACAUCCAGUUGUGCCCAGAUGGGAUUAGCUAGUGGGUGGGGUAAUGGCGCACCUAGGCGACGAUCCCUAGCUGGUCUGAGAGGAUGACCAGCCACACUGGAACUGAGACACGGUCCAGACUCCUACGGGAGGCAGCAGUGGGGAAUAUUGCACAAUGGGCGCAAGCCUGAUGCAGCCAUGCCGCGUGUGUGAAGAAGGCCUUCGGGUUGUAAAGCACUUUCAGCGAGGAGGCGUUACUCGCAGAAGAAGCACCGGCUAACUCCGUGCCAGCAGCCGCGGUAAUUC
rnacentral:rRNA from 1 species